rnacentral:rRNA from 1 species
AGAGAGAGACAUGCGCGCAUAUCAAUAAGCGGAGGAAAAGAAACUAACAAGGAUUCCCCUAGUAACGGCGAGUGAAGCGGGAAGAGCUCAAAUUUGAAAUCUUAAAGGUUUUCCCUUGACGAAUUGUAGUUUAAAGAAGUGUUUUCUGUUGAAGUUUUGGUAAAAGUUCUUUGGAAUAGGACAUCAUAGAGGGUGAGAAUCCCGUAUUUGACCAUUAUUUUCAACUUUGUGAUACACUUUCAAAGAGUCAGAUUGUUUGGGAAUGCAGUCCAAAAUGGGUGGUAAAUUUCAUCUAAAGCUAAAUAUUGGCGAGAGACCGAUAGCGAACAAGUACCGUGAGGGAAAGAUGAAAAGAACUUUGAAAAGAGAGUUAAACAGUACGUGAAAUUGUCAAAAGGGAAGCGUUUGACACCUGUGUUGUUUUUCUGAAAAUCAAUUAAAGAACUGUUUAUGCUAAGUUGUUUAGACUUUAUCAGCUAACUGUUUAGUUUUGAGCUUUUCUUUAAUGCACUUUUCAGUUAACAAGUCAACAUCAAUUUCUUUUGCUGUAAAAAAGCUUGAGGAAGGUGGCUUGAGAUUCGUCUUAAGUGUUUAUAGCCUCUUGCCUAUGCAGUCGGAGAGAUUGAGGUCUGCAGCGUAGAUCCUUCGGGGCUAAAUGCAUUUGUGCUAAGUUAUAGCAUUUUAUAGACAACUUGUUGACUAUGAUUUGUCUUGUAGCUUACUCGCUUAUGUUAUUUUACCUACGCUUAGGAUGUUGAGCGCAUGUCUCUCUCU